GGGUGGUGAGGUUGAGUGGUUAAAGUGUUUGACUCCCAGACCAAAGGUCGUGGGUUCGAACCCCAAGUGUCUGCAUCCUUGAGCAAGACGCCCCCUAACCCCCCCCCCCCCCCCA